AGAGUUUGAUCCUGGCUCAGGAUGAACGCUAGCUACAGGCUUAACACAUGCAAGUCGAGGGGAAACGACAUCGAAAGCUUGCUUUUGAUGGGCGUCGACCGGCGCACGGGUGAGUAACGCGUAUCCAACCUGCCCACCACUUGGGGAUAACCUUGCGAAAGUAAGACUAAUACCCAAUGACGUCUCUAGAAGACAUCUGAAAGAGAUUAAAGAUUUAUCGGUGAUGGAUGGGGAUGCGUCUGAUUAGCUUGUUGGCGGGGUAACGGCCCGACCAAGGCUACGAUCAGUAGGGGUUCUGAGAGGAAGGUCCCCCCGACAUUGGAACUGAGACACGGUCCAAACUCCUACGGAGGCA
rnacentral:rRNA from 1 species